rnacentral:rRNA from 1 species
AGUGAACGCUGGCGGUAGGCCUAACACAUGCAAGUCGAACGGCAGCACAGUAAGAGCUUGCUCUUACGGGUGGCGAGUGGCGGACGGGUGCGGAAUACAUCGGAAUCUACUUUUUCGUGGGGGAUAACGUAGGGAAACUUACGCUAAUACCGCAUACGACCUACGGGUGAAAGCAGGGGAUCUUCGGACCUUGCGCGAUUGAAUGAGCCGAUGUCGGAUGAGCUAGUUGGCGGGGUAAAGGCCCACCAAGGCGACGAUCCGUAGCUGGUCUGAGGGGAUGGUCAGCCAGCCUGGAUCUGAGACACGGCACCGACUCCUACGGGGAGACGCGGUGGAGAAUAUUAGGGGAGGGAGGCAAGCCUGAUACAGGCAUACCGCGUGGGUGAAGAAGGCGUUCGGGUGGGAAAGCCCUGUUGUUGUGAGAGAAGAGCAGCAGGUUAAUACGGCGCGGUUCUGACGGUACCCAAAGAAUAAGCACCGGCUAACUUCGUG